rnacentral:tRNA from 3 species
GGGCUCGUAGCUCAGUUGGUUAGAGCGCGUCCCUGAUAAGGACGAGGCCAGUGGUUCGAGUCCACUCGGGCCCA